UUUCCGUAGGUGAACCUGCGGAAGGAUCAUUCAUAAUAAGUGUUUUACUGCACUUUUUAAAAAUAAUACUCACCUUGUGUGCAAUGGUGUGUUUUUUUUCGGAGAAACACCUCCACCAUCCUAUAACCUUGAACCACUUUGUCUGAAAAACUAUUAUGAAUCCUUAAUUCAAAAUACAACUUUCAACAACGGAUCUCUUGGCUCUC
rnacentral:misc_RNA from 1 species